CUAGUGGCAUGAUAAAGAGCAUAGUAUUUUCUAUUGUCUAGCACUUCAUGUGCCUAACAGUGCACAGAGGGUGACGAGAAAAAGGCCUGAAUGUAUAGUUGUGGUGUUUCUGAAUGUAAGAAGUACAAAAACUUAACUACUGGGAAUAUCGUUUCACAAAUCAAGAGAGGGCUACCAAAACAUGUCCUGUAAACCUGAGAAGCCUGAGGUCUCUACCUUAAAGACCCAUGAGUGCAAUGCUUUUAAAGGCUCAGCUGCUGUUGAAAGAGAUAGAGGAGCUGCAAGACUUAUCCAAAUCAUCACAGCUGCCCAACCAGAGAAGAAUGAUCUUGCAGGAAUGUCAGGCCAGCAUCGAGCAGGACGGAGAGACCUUGGUCAUUGAUGGCAUGAGGUUCAAGUGCACAGCCAGCCGGGAGGACCUGGGGGGGCUGAGUUCACAGGAUGCCAGUGCAGGAGGACGUCGGGGCGACACAUGACUGAUGGCUACUUCAGUGGUUUCAUGGCACAAGUUCGAGCCUGGAUCUCCUUUUUAAGUGCAGAGAUGAGAAUGGUGAUAUCCUCACAUCUGUACUGUCUGAACAUACAACACUACUCCCUGUACAACAGCUAAACUGAAGAUGUCCCUGGUCAGUGGUGUGUAGUAAAAAGCCUGAAGUGGAUCUUCUUGUUCUGUUUGUGUUGUGCUGAAUUAUUUCUUUACCAUCAGAUAUCUAAAUAAAA